rnacentral:misc_RNA from 1 species
GAUGAAGAACGUAGCGAAAUGCGAUACUUGGUGUGAAUUGCAGAAUCCCGUGAACCAUCGAGUCUUUGAACGCAAGUUGCGCCCGAAGCCAUUAGGCCGAGGGCACGCCUGCCUGGGCGUCACACGUCGUUGCCCCCCCAUCUACUCCUUCGGGAUUGCGGGGGGCGGAUGAUGUCCUCCCGUGCGCCUCGCCGCGCGGUUGGCAUAAAUGCCAAGUCCUCGGCGACGCACGCCACGACAAUCGGUGGUUGCGAAACCUCGGUUGCCCGUCGUGUGCGGUCGUCGCGCAUCGAGGGCUCGAAAAAAUUGCCGGGUUCCGGCUCGGCUUUCAACGCGACCCCAGGUCAGGCGGGGUUACCCGCUGAAUUUAAGCAUAUCAAUAAGCGGAGGA